CCCCUAGAUGUUCUGGGCCGCACGCGCUACACUGAACAGUUCAACAAGUCUUAACCUUGGCCGAUAGGUCUGGGUAAUCUUUGAACGCUGUUCGUGAUUGGGAUAGACCUUUGCAAUUAUGGGUCUUCAACGAGGAAUUCCUAGUAAACGCAAGUCAUCAGCUUGCAUUGAUUACGUCCCUGCCCUUUGUACACACCGCCCGUCGCACCUACCGAUUGAAUGGUCCGGUGAAAUCUCGGGACGGCGGCUUGGUCGCUUGCGUCCGACUGCUGAAACUUGAUUAAACCAUAUCAUUUAGAGGAAGGUGAAGUCGUAACA
rnacentral:rRNA from 1 species